rnacentral:misc_RNA from 1 species
GAUGAAGAACGCAGCGAAAUGCGAUAAGUAAUGUGAAUUGCAGAAUUCAGUGAAUCAUCGAAUCUUUGAACGCACAUUGCGCCCCUUGGUAUUCCGAGGGGCAUGCCUGUUCGAGCGUCAUUAUAACCCCUCAAGCUCAGCUUGAUGUUGGGGCCUGCUGCACUGGCAGCCCUUAAAAUCAGUGGCGGCGCCAUCUGGCUCUAAGCGUAGUAAUUCUUCUCGCUAUGGAGUCCUGGUGGAUGCUUGCCAUCAACCCCCAAUUUUUCUAUGGUUGACCUCGGAUCAGGUAGGGAUACCCGCUGAACUUAAGCAUAUCAAUAAGCGGAGA